rnacentral:rRNA from 1 species
GGACGAACGCUGGCGGCGUGCCUAAUACAUGCAAGUCGAGCGAAGUUUUUCUGGUGCUUGCACCGGAAAAACUUAGCGGCGAACGGGUGAGUAACACGUAAAGAACCUGCCUCAUAGACUGGGACAACUAUUGGAAACGAUAGCUAAUACCGGAUAAUAGCAUUAACUGCAUGGUUGAUGUUUAAAAGUUGGUUUUGCUAACACUAUGAGAUGGCUUUGCGGUGCAUUAGCUAGUUGGUGGGGUAAAGGCCUACCAAGGCGACGAUGCAUAGCCGACCUGAGAGGGUGAUCGGCCACACUGGGACUGAGACACGGCCCAGACUCCUACGGGAGGCAGCAGUAGGGAAUCUUCCGCAAUGGGCGAAAGCCUGACGGAGCAACGCCGCGUGAGUGAAGAAGGAUUUCGGUUCGUAAAGCUCUGUUGUUAGGGAAGAAUGAUUGUGUAGUAACUAUACACAGUAGAGACGGUACCUAACCAGAAAGCCACGGCUAACUACGU